rnacentral:misc_RNA from 1 species
UUGAUUGAUUUGUAUUCAAUACUCGACGCAAAGAUGCAGAGUUGAUUGGUCCUCUGGGGGACUCCCGGCCGCGGACGUCCGGGUCUCCCCCCGAGGCAACAGAUAUUAAUCGACAAAGGGUUGGAGGUCGGGCGCGAGGGCCCUCACUCGGUAAUGAUCCCUCCGCAGGUUCACCUACGGAGA